CCUUCGGCAACAUACGUCGACUUCGGGUGUCGCCUACUCGAUUGGUGUGACGGGCGGUGUGUACAAGGCCCAAGUACAUAUUCACCGCGGUAUGGCUGACCCGCGAUUACUACCGAUUCCAUCUUCAUGGGGUCGGGUUGCAGACCCCAAUCCGCACUGGGGGCACCUUUUUGAGAUUUGCUCGUCCUUGCAGACUUGCUCCUCAUUGUAGUGCCCAUUGUAGCACGUGUGUCGCCCAGAGCAUAAGGAUCAUAAUGACUUGACGUCAUCCCCUCCUUCCUCCGGAUAUUCUCCGGCAGUCCCCUUAUAGUACCCGGCAUUACCCGCUGGCAAUUAAGAGCAGGGGUUGCGCUCGUUACGGGACUUAACCCAACGUCCCACGACACGAGCUGACGACAGCCAUGCAAUACCUGCCACGGCUCCUCAAGCAAAGCUUGAGGUCGUUUCCCUUUCAGGAUCCUACUACCGCUAGGUCAAGCCCUGGUAAGGUUCUUCGCUUAUCAUCGAAUUAAACCACGUGCUCCACCGGUUGUGUGGGCCCCCGUCAAUUCCCUUGAGUUUCAUCCUUGCGGACGUAAUCCCCAGGCGGUGGGCUUAACACGUUAGCUCCGGCAACGACCCUCUGUAGGGGGCCGACACCAAGCCCACAUCGUUUGAAGCCAGGA
rnacentral:rRNA from 1 species